rnacentral:rRNA from 1 species
AUGUGUCAGUACAGGCCGCUCUAAGGCGAAACCGCGAAUGGCUCAUUAAAUCAGUUAUCAUUCAUUUGAUCCAAACCUACUACUCGGAUAACCCUGGUAAUUCUAGAGCUAAUACGUGACUUAUACAACUCCGACUGGAAGGGAGGAGUGCUUUUAUUAGUUGAAAACCAAGCGGGCCUCGGUCCGUUCAGUUUACUGUGAUGACUCUGAAUAACUUUGUGCAGAGAGCACGGUCUCCGCACCGGCUCCGUAUCUUUCGAGUUUCUGCCUUAUCAUGCUGUGGAUUGUAGGCCAUGCGCCUACAGUGGCUGUUACGGGUGACGGAGAAUCAGGGUUCGAUUCCGGAGAGGGAGCCUGAGAAACGGCUACCACAUCCAAGGAAGGCAGCAGGCACGCAAAUUACCCAAUCCCAGCUCUGGGAGGUAGUGACGAAAAAUAACAAUGCGGGACUCUUCCGAGUCUGCGUAAUUGGAAUGAGCACACUUUAAAUCCUUUAGCAACAACCAAUUGGAGGGCAAGUCUGGUGCCAGCAGCCGCGGUAAUUCCAGCUCCAAUAGCGUAUAUUAAAGUUGUUGCGGUUAAAAAGCUCGUAGUUCGAGCUCAGUUCCGGACUGGCCGGGGAGGUCACCGCCCGGUGCUUCCCCGUCAGGCUCCGAACAGCUUCCGUGAGUGGAAGCCAAGCCGGUUCUGCCGGGGUGCUCUUUACCGAGUGUCCCGCGCGGCCGGCCAGUUCACCUUGAAUAAAUGAGAGUGCUCAAAGCAGGCUACUCUCGAAUACAAUGCCCGAAUGUUACCUGCAUGGAAUGAUGGAAGAUGAUCUCGGUUCCAUUUUCUUGGUGGUGGGAGCCAGAGGUAAUGAUAAACAGGGACUGUCGGGGGCAUCCGUACUACGACGCGAGAGGUGAAAUUCAGUGACCGUCGUAGGACGAACAACAGCGAAAGCAUUUGCCAAGAAUGUCUUCGUUGAUCAAGAACGAAAGUUAGAGGAUCGAAGGCGAUCAGAUACCGCCCUAGUUCUAACCCUAAACGAUGCUGACUAGCAAUUCGCCGUCGUUAUUCCCAUGACGUGGCGAGACGCCCCCGGGAAACCUCAAGUCUUUGAGUUCCGGGGGUAGUAUGGUUGCAAAACUGAAACUUAAAGGAAUUGACGGAAGGGCACCACCAGGAGUGGAGCCUGCGGCUUAAUUUGACUCAACACGGGAAACCUCACCAGGCCCGGACACCAGAAGGAUUGACAGAUUAAGAGCUCUUUCUCGAUUUGGUGGGUGGUGGUGCAUG